CCUACGGGAGGCAGCAGUGGGGAAUAUUGCGCAAUGGGGGCAACCCUGACGCAGCAACGCCGCGUGAUUGAAGAAGGCCUUCGGGUUGUAAAGAUCUUUAAUCGGGGACGAAUUUUGACGGUACCCGAAGAAUAAGCUCCGGCUCACUACGUGCCAGCAGCCGCGGUAAUACGUAGGGAGCAAGCGUUAUCCGGAUUUACUGGGUGUAAAGGGGGUGUAGGCGGGCCUGCAAGCCAGGAGUGAAAUCUGGGGGCUUAACCCCCAAACUGCUGUUGGAACUGGGGGUCUGGAGUGAGGGAGAGGCAGGCGGAAUUCCCGGUGUAGCGGUGAAAUGCGUAGAUAUUGCGAAGAACACCAGUGGCGAAGGCAGCCUGCUGGACAUUAACUGACGCUGAGGCGCGAAAGCGUGGGGAGCGAACAGGAUUAGAUACCCGUGUAGUC
rnacentral:rRNA from 1 species